rnacentral:rRNA from 1 species
UACGUAGGGGGCAAGCGUUGUCCGGAAUCAUUGGGCGUAAAGCGCGUGUAGGCGGUUCGAUAAGUCUGCUGUGAAAGUCCAGGGCUCAACCCUGGAAAGCCGGUGGAUACUGUCGGACUAGAGUGCGGAAAAGGCGAGUGGAAUUCCCGGUGUAGCGGUGAAAUGCGCAGAUAUCGGGAGGAACACCAAUUGCGAAGGCAGCUCGCUGGGACGUUACUGACGCUGAGACGCGAAAGCGUGGGGAGCAAACAGG